UGAAUUUUCUUUUCUCCUAGAUAAUUUUUUCUUUUUUAGAGAAAAGUGGCAACAUCAAGCAAUCAAACACAGCCGUAUCUUUUUUUCGUUUAUUCCAUAGCAAGAUAUGAUUUAGAUUUUUAUUGAAAAAGGUCAGGACUUUCAAGGCACAACACGAUCACUACCAGAAUCUUGUCAAUUGAAAGUUGAAUCUACAAGUAAACGGUAACAACUGAACAGUUCCAAAGCUUCCUGGUCAGUUCAGAGCAAACUAAACUAAAUUAAACCAAAAGAACGUGUCUAAAGCUAUUCAACUUCCCAUCAUUGACUUGUCCUCAGAAGAUCGCGUCUCCACUGCCAACUCUAUCCGCCAGAUCAAAGCAAGUUGUUUACAGCAGAAACCGAAAAAUAAAGCAAUGUCUGAAGCUCUUCAUCUCCCCAUCAUUGACUUGUCGUCACCAGAUCGCCUCUCCAUCGCCAACUCUAUCCGUCAGGCGUGCGUGGAGCAUGGUUUCUUUUACCUUGUGAAUCACGGGGUGGAGGAAGAAUUGCUUAAAAAAGUUUUUGAGCAAUGUUCCAAGUUUUUUUCACUCCCAAUUGCAGAGAAGAUGAAAUUUUCUAGAAAGAAUCACAGAGGUUAUACAGCACUGUAUGCUGAAAAGCUUGAUACUUCUUCAAGUGCUAAAGGUGACUCUAAAGAAAGUUUCUACAUUGGUCCACUAGCUGAUCACCUCAACCAAUGGCCUUUAGAAGAAGAUCUGCCAUCUUGGAGAAGCACAAUGGAAACUUACUAUAAAAAAGUGCUGUCUGCUGGGACUAAAUUAAUUUCUUUAAUUGCCCUGGCUUUGAAAUUGGAUGAAGAUUUCUUUGAAAAAGUGGGUGCACUGAAUGAACCAUUUGCGUUUAUCCGCCUAUUACACUAUCCAGGGGACUUAGAGUCGUCUGGUGAAGAUAUAUAUGGUGCUUCUGCUCAUUCAGAUUAUGGAAUGAUCACUCUUCUGGUGACCGAUGGUGUUCCAGGGCUUCAGGUUUGCAGGGAGAAGUCCAAGCAACCACAGAUUUGGGAGGAUGUGCCAAGUAUGAGUGGGGCAUUCAUUGUUAACAUUGGGGACAUGAUGGAGAGGUGGACCAAUUGUUUGUUCCGGUCAACACUGCACAGGGUGCUGCCACCAGGACAAGAACGCUACUCUGUAAUGAUUCAUCCUUUCCUGUUUACUUCCAUUGCCAUUUCUUGCUUCAUCAUGUGGGAUUCUUCAUAAAUCCCAACAAAGACUGUUUAGUGGAAUGCUUGGAAAGCUGUUGCAGUGAGUCUUCUCCCCCAAGAUUUCCACCCAUCCGUUCAUUGGACUACCUGGAAGAGCGUGUUAGACUUACAUAUGGCUCGUAGUUAAAGUCAUGCAUCAUUUUCACGGAUUGUAUACUACAUCUGGUUGUGCCAAGCUCUCUGCUGCUAAAGAAAUUACUAACAUUGCAAUCAAUACUUCACAGCUAAAGAGAGGUUCAGAGGCCUCAGAUGCUAUAAUAAUCAGACUUAUGAAAUAAAAAAAUGAAAGAAAUGGAACUAGAAUAUCUACUUUGCUUGUGCUAUGUAUUCUUUGCUACAUUUUACAACUAUUUUUACUAUAUGCAAUUUUAUCAAGUGUGUUUUCUAAGUUGAAUAAAAAUAAUCAAA